rnacentral:rRNA from 1 species
CCUACGGGUGGCUGCAGUGAGGAAUAUUGGUCAAUGGGCGCGAGCCUGAACCAGCCAAGUAGCGUGAAGGAUUACUGCCCUACGGGUUGUAAACUUCUUUUAUAAAGGAAUAAAGUGAGGCACGUGUGCCUUUUUGUAUGUACUUUAUGAAUAAGGAUCGGCUAACUCCGGGCCACCAGCCGCGGUAAUACGGAGGAUCCGAGCGUUAUCCGGAUUUAUUGGGUUUAAAGGGAGCGUAGCUUGGUUGUUAAGUCAGUUGUGAACGUUUGCGGGUUAACCGUAAAAUUGCAAUUGAUACUGGCAGCCUUGAGUACAGUAGAGGUAGGCGGAAUUCGUGGUGUAGCGGUGAAAUGCUUAGAUAUCACGAAGAACUCCGAUUGCGAAGGCAGCCUACUAAACUGCCACUGACAUUGAUGCUCGAAAGUGUGGGUAUCAAACAGGAUUAGAUACCCCAGUAGUC